GACGAACGCUGGCGGCGUGCUUAACACAUGCAAGUCGAACGGAAAGGCCCUGCUUUUGUGGGGUGCUCGAGUGGCGAACGGGUGAGUAACACGUGAGUAACCUGCCCUUGACUUUGGGAUAACUUCAGGAAACUGGGGCUAAUACCGGAUAGGAGCUCCUGCUGCAUGGUGGGGGUUGGAAAGUUUCGGCGGUUGGGGAUGGAAUCGCGGCUUAUCAGCUUGUUGGUGGGGUAGUGGCUUACCAAGGCUUUGACGGGUAGCCGGCCUGAGAGGGUGACCGGCCAAAUUGGGACGGAGAUACGGCCCAGACUCGAACGGGAGGCAAGAGUGGGGAAUAUUGCACAAUGGGCGGGAGGCUGGUGCAGCAAAGCCGCGUGGGGGAAGACGGCCUUCGGGUUGUAAACCGCUUUCGCCUGUGACGAAGCGUGAGUGACGGUAAUGGGUAAAGAAGCACCGGCUAACUACGUG
rnacentral:rRNA from 1 species